rnacentral:lncRNA from 1 species
UGUCCCAUACAGCUUUUGAAUAAGCUUCAAGAUUAUAUAAUCAAACCAGGAAGUAGGUGGGACUUUCAUAGUGUAUUACAACAACAAAGAAGUUACUUCAAACAACGAUCACUGUUUUUUUUUCUCUCUGACAUCAUUGCACAUAAUGGCAUGCGCGAUAGAACAGAAGAGUAUGAACAAAACGUUUUUAUUUUUUUUACCAUGAUGCUGGAUUCUCCUCUGUUUCUUCAACAAAAACCAAACAAAAAAGAAUGCAACGGAGUGAACAGUGGCACUGUUUCACCGUGGGGGGAAUUCAGACCCAGGAUACAGACACGUAACCAUGAUUGACAGAGGAAAAACAGUGAUUCCAACCACCACCCUCCUUUUGAAGCUUCCAGUCUGUUAUUCGAACUCAAUCAGCAUGACAGAGUGAUCUCCAGCCUUGUCCUCGUCAACACUCACACCUGUGUUAACGAGAAAAUCACUGUGUCACGUCCUGACCAGCAGAGGGAGUAAUUGUAUUCAUUUUGGUCAGGACGUGGCAGAAGGUUUGUGUUUUGUAUGUAUUUCUACCUUCUGUCUAGUUUAGUUUUUCUAUGUUUAGGUUUGGGUGUUGGACUCUCAAUUGGAGGCAGGUGUUUCUAGUUGCCUCUGAUUGAGAGUCCUAUAUAUAGGUCUGUGUUUGGUUUGGGUUUUUGUGGGUAGUUGUAUUUGCACUGCUCUUUGUUUAGCCUGCAAAUCUGUUAGCUGUCGUUCUGUUUCUUGUUUUUUCCCGUUACUCACUUUAAAUAAUAAUAUUAAAGUAUGAGUAUUCAGGUACCCGCUGCGCCUUGGUCUCAUCUCUUCGACAGCCAUUACAGAACUACCCACCACAACAGGACCAAGCAGCCCCAUUUUUUUUGGGGGGGGGGGGGGGGGGGGUACAAGGGCAGUUUGGUGGGGCAAGGAUGGAGCCCCAGGCCAGCUCCCCGUACCAUUUUUGGGCAGAGACAUACUGGACAGGUCCCGUGCUUUGGGGUGAUGGGUGCUGUGGCGAGGCCGGGUAUUUUCAGGCCGAUACGCGCAGUACCAGCGCCCCGCAUGUGCCAGGGGAAAGUAGGCAUCCAGCCAGUAGGGGUGAUGCCAGCCCUGCGCUCGAGACCGCCAGUGCGCCUCUACGGUCCAGUGUUUCCUGCUACACGCACUAGCCUUGAGGUGCGUGUCUCCAGGCUGGCACGUCCAGUACCAGCCCCACG